rnacentral:rRNA from 1 species
UCGGGAAUAUUGCGCAAUGGAGGGAACUCUGACGCAGUGACGCCGCGUAUAGGAAGAAGGUUUUCGGAUUGUAAACUAUUGUCCACAGGGAAGAGAAAGGACAGUACCUGUGAAGAAAGCUCCGGCUAACUACGUGCCAGCAGCCGCGGUAAUACGUAGGGAGCAAGCGUUAUCCGGAAUUAUUGGGUGUAAAGGGUGCGUAGACGGGAAUUUAAGUUAGUUGUGAAAUCCCUCGGCUCAACUGAGGAACUGCAACUAAAACUGAAUUUCUUGAGUGCAGGAGAGGAAAGUGGAAUUCCUAGUGUAGCGGUGAAAUGCGUAGAUAUUAGGAGGAACACCAGUGGCGAAGGCGACUUUCUGGACUGUAACUGACGUUGAGGCACGAAAGUGUGGGGAGCAAACAGG